CCUACGGGAGGCAGCAGUGGGGAAUAUUGCACAAUGGGGGAAACCCUGAUGCAGCAACGCCGCGUGAAGGCAGACGGUUUUCGGAUUGUUACCUUAUGUUCUUAGUGAAGAAUAAUGACGGUAGCUAAGGAGCAAGCCACGGCUAACUACGUGCCAGCAGCCGCGGUAAUACGUAGGUGGCAAGCGUUGUCCGGAAUUACUGGGUGUAAAGGGUGCGUAGGAGGGAAGGCAAGUCAGCUGUGAACAGUACGGGCUUAACUUGUAGACGGCAGAUGAUACUGGUAGACUUGAGUGAAGUAGGGGGAAGCGGAAUUCGGGGUGUAGCGGUGAAAUGCGUAGAUAUCGAGAGGAACACUGGUGGCGAAGGCGG
rnacentral:rRNA from 1 species